rnacentral:lncRNA from 1 species
GGGCAAUGGCGGGCGCCCCUCCCCAGCCUCACUGCCGCCUUGCAGUUUGAUCUCAGACUGCUGUGCUAGCAAUCAGCGAGACUCCGUGGGUGUAGGACCCUCGGAGCCAGGUGCCGGAUAUAAUCUCGUGGUGCGCCGUUUUUUAAGCCCGUCGGAAAAGCGCAGUAUUCGGGUGGGAGUGACUCGAUUUUCCAGGUGCCGUCCAUCACCCCUUUCUUUGACUGGGAAAGGGAACUCCCUGACCCCUUGCGUUUCCCAAGUGAGGCAAUGCCUGGCCCUGCUUCGGCUCGUGCACGGUGCAUGCACCCACUGUCCUGCGCCCACUGUCUGGCACUCCCUAGUGAGAUGAACCCGGUACCUCAGAUGGAAAUGCAGAAAUCACCCGUCUUCUGCGUCGCUCACGCUGGGAGCUGUAGACCGGAGCUGUUCCUAUUCCGCCAUCUUGGCUCCUCCCUCCAGAAAGCACAUCAUUAAAAUAUCAACUUUGGCAGAGACGUGGAGCAAGAUGACUGCAUAGAAGUUUCUACUGAUCAUUUCCCACCGCUUCCACGGGAACACCAAGUUUGAUAUCCACACAAAGGGAGCACCUUCAAAGGAAGCAAAAAUCAGAUACAUUCCCAUUGAGGCACGAAAAUGGAUCUAGCCACAGCUCUGAUGAUAUUGCUUUGCCUUUAACAGUACCUCCCAUUAGUCUCUUGCACCAAGAUGCACAUUUUUCAGUUUACAUAGUGGAUUUCAUCAUUCUACUAGAAAGCCUCCACUUUGUUUCUGAUUCAGUUUCAGUUUCCAAACCAGGUGCUUUGUCCCUCACUGACUGUUUUGGAUGACCUCUAGUUUUUCCCCAAGGUUCUAAAUUUAGUUUGGCUUUUAUUUGGCCAUCAUUUUAAUUCCCACUUUUUGUUUUGGUGCUGUUGAUUGUACAAUCCAACCAUCUCUACCUUUCAAUAUUUGCAGGUUUCUUUUUUCCUGUUUGUCUUGAACAUUCUGAUUUUUCCUAACCUUUGAGUCACCUGCCUCUGUUUUACCAUGUCAUUGAAUUAUGGUUUAGUCAAGUGGAAAGACAAGCUCCUGUCACUGCCUAUAGCACUGCCUAGUUUCCUUCCAAUUAUCAAUAAAAUUCUUUGUUAUUAGGUUUCUUCUGUUCCACUAUAAGCUCAAGUAAUUCACAACAAUAAAACAAGACAAAAAUAAUUAACAUUCACGAGAAUAAAGAGCAGCCAUUAAAUCAUGAAGUUAUCAGGGUGGAAGCAGCUCUAAUGGCUUCCAUUUAGCCUUUCUCACCAUAAUAGCCCUUACUCUACAAGUCAUGGAGCCAAUGUGGGGGUUCAGUCAGCUGCUGAGCAUGUCUAUGCACUGGGGAAAUGACCACAGGAGGAGUCCAGGGACCCACU